GAAAUAUUGCCACCUUCAGUGUGGUGAUUUCCGCGCAAGGGCUCUUGGCUGAACUGCUGAUACUCGAGCUGAGCCGAGCCGGCUGUGCUCUGUGGCUGAAUGAGGAUCCACAGCAAGCUGCAUCCUAGCUAUCCACAUUGGAGCCCAGGGAGCCAGGGGACCUGCCUGGCUUUCACAGAUGGGUAGGAGAGAGUACGAAGAGACCAAGGCUCAGAGAAGCUGUGGGGCUCACCUGAAGUUGGGACUUCAGCAUGUACUUCGUGGUUGGCCUUGCAGCUUCAAGGAGAGACUCUGCAAAUUCCUGCCAGCAGCCCAGAUGGGCUUCGCUCAGUGGCCGCUGUUGCAAGCAGGAAUCCUAAAUCUGCGUGACCACCGGGCCCAGCACCCUGGACAGCAGCGGCCUGGCCCUGCCCUCUUGGGGUCCGAGGGAGGUCGUGUCAUCCCCCUCCCCAUCAGCCUCUCCAGGCCUCCUUGGCACUCCUGGAGUCUUUAGUCUUCAGCUCAGGCUGGUAAUUAAAAACCUUCAAGGGGGACUUUAUUGAGUUAGCAUUAGUUAUUUUGUCAGGCUGGGAAAGCGAGAGAAUUAUCUGUCCUCCGGGAGAGAGGGCAGGGGCUGGGGCCUCGGGCUGAGAUUGGCAGGUGCCGGAGCGGAGCGGGCAGGCGGUGGGGC
rnacentral:lncRNA from 1 species